GAAAAUCACAAGCACAAGCUUAAAACUCAAAAGGCUUGACGGCGCUUUAGACCCACCUAGAGGAGCCUGUCCUAUAACCGAUAACCCCCGUUAAACCUUACCUUUUUUGGCCUUCAGCCUUUUUACCGCCGUCGUCAGCUUACCCUUUGAAGGCUUUAAAGUAAGCAAAACGGUUUUAAACCCAAAACGUCAGGUCGAGGUAUAGCAUACAAGGGGUGAAGGGGUGGGCUACAUUUCCUUUCUAGGACUUACGAAUAAUGUUUUGAAACAAACUUGUUGAAGCAGGAUUUAGUAGUAAGUAAAAAAUAGAGUUUUUUACUAAAAAUUGCCCUUAAAACGGGAAAAAACGGCCCGUACUUCCCUCCUCCCUUUAUUCCCAUAAUUUAUAAUUAUUUAUAUUAAUCAAGAAGAGACAAGUCGUAACAUGGUAAGUGUACUGGAAAGUGCACUUGGACGAU
rnacentral:rRNA from 1 species